AGCUUGCGUUCAAGACGAGGAUGAUUUAGGGUUUUUCGUCGGAGCAGCCGACAUAAACCAAUUCAAGGUUUUCGUCUUCGUUUUCGUUAAUUUCAAUUCAAUUAUUCCAUGCACGAUGCACCCCGGGCUACUCUGAUUAUCUCCGUGACGGUGAUAGCCCCAUUGCUCGUGCUAGAGUGUAGCCGUUUAGUGUUGCAGGUUAGCCUUGCACUUUUCCACGGCUGAUCUGUGUCAAAAUAACGGCUAGAUCUCUUUAUUAUUGUAUCGAACAAUAUUGCAUCUUCGAUUUUGUCUCUGGUUAGUUAUUAGCAUUUUUGGAGGCCUCACUACACCUUUAGCUUGUUUUCUGCAGAUUAAGCAUAUGAAAAUGGAGCUAGUCAUAGAGGCCGAUAUUUAGUCUUCGGCGGUGUUCACGUGGGGGCCUAUCCGUUCAAUGUCAUAUCAUGAUUGUAAUGCUUUGAUUCUGCCAAUGAUGAUUCAAUCCAUCCGUUUAAGACUUUGUGGAGCCAAGUCCCUGUUUCAGGGAGAACCUACUUGGUGAAGCGAUGUUCAUAUGAUAUAAAUGGAUUUAACUGAGAUUGAUUGGGAUUGCUCAGCCGCCUCCCUUUCUUUCAGAGUGGAACUGUUUUGAUCAAUCAGUGUGGCUGACCAUGAAAUAUCUAGCAAAACUGAAGUAAUGCAGCUUGAGAAUUCCUUCAUGUAGCAGCAUGAAGUAGUAAAUAUGCUAUAAAAAUAUGUAGCUCGUGGCAGAUGUACUAAAUAGAAGUUGUUAUAUAUAGUUUCUAGUCAUUUGCUGAAUGUUCGCGCCUCAUUUUUGCUUUGUCUCUCCCUAUCUUUCUCUCUAUCACGUUGAAUGAUCAACAUCUUAUGUUAUUUUUCAACU